rnacentral:tRNA from 1 species
GGCCAGGGAGGCGCCGGCCGCGACGCCCAGUCCGGCUCGCGCCGGGGCCUGCGGCGUGACCGGUUCGACGUCGGCUCCGGUAG